ensembl:lncRNA
CUCAGACAAUUGCUAGUUGUAUGACCUUGGCUAAGCCACUAAACCUCCAUUAUCCUCAGUUUCAUCGUCUGUAAAAUAAAGAGGUUGGCUUUAAUAACCCUAAAAAUCCUUUCCAGCUAUAAAAACAUAAAUUUGAAUAGAAUUUAUUUUAUAUUUUCAUGUAGAAUUAUAUCUAGCUACAUAAAUACAGGAUCUCAUUGGAUCUACCAAGCUACAUCACCUUCCCUCCCCAUUCAACUCCCAUUGCUAAUUAAUGCCUUCCUUCUGAGAUUGUGUCUCAUUGGCCCUGGCUAUUUUUGUAUGUAAAAAUAUAGUUGAUUCAUGCUAUCUCCUGCAUUAGGAUGUGAGCUUCUGAAGGGUAGGGUUUGUGCCUUUGCCUUCCUUUGUAUGCCCAAGUUUUAGCACUAACACAUAAAUACUUCAUAGACUAAUUGAUCUCUCUGGGCCUCUGUUUCCCCACCUGACAUAUGAAGAAAGCCGAUUCUUCCAUCCCUUGGAGACCUUCUAUGGCCUCACAAUCAGUGGCGAUCACUAGCAGAAUAAGACCCUGAGCCCAUGCCCCGGACUCUCAGUCCACGAGCCAACCUUCUUCCUUCAGAGAUAGUUCCAAUCUGCCUUGCUUGUCUUUUUCUCUUAAGGAGUUGCAGCUGGCCAAGGAUUAACAGGAGCCUGGCACUCUUUUGAAAGGUAGAGGGCAAUGGAAGGCAAGCACAAUCCUAUUUCCAGCUCCAACACAAAUUUUCAUUAGAGCAGUCAUGAGCCCUAAUGUACUGGAACUCCAAUGGUCUGUUGUUUCCUCUUCUGAUGAGUUCCAUGAGAAAAGAGGAAGCAUUUCCAUUUUCUGAUUCCCAUUCCAAUUUCAAUGAUUUCAGCCAAUGAAGAGACGAGGAAACCAAGUCUAAGCAAGGAAGAGUGCAACCAUCUCUAGCAUUUAUACAAAGCACAAAAGUUUGUCAAGGUGAACCUCAUGAAGGCCAGUCUCCCUCUGUCAUUUCAAGGACAAAAGCACUGCGAGAAAAUGGGUGCUGAUGUCAUGACUUUAAGCUGGCUAGAACAUUCCAUCACCUCUUCCUUGACCCAGAAAAUCAAGCUAAGAUGGAGUUGGAUUUUUAUUCAGUGGAUGCAAGAAUUUCCAAAUGAUGUGCACUGUCCGAGCAUAGAUUGGGAUGCCCAGACAAUGAAAGGGGGUCAGGAUUCCUCCCACUCAGCAGGAUACAAGCAAUCAGAGGCUGUUGGACCAUUCAGCAAGGAAUCCAUAGAAGAGAUUGUCAUUUCAGAAAAUGGGCUGAACUAGAUUCUGUGGUAUUUUUAUCUUCAUAAAGGACUGCAUAAUAUAACUUGGGAGCUGCCAAGUGGCCCAGUAUGGUCCUGAAUAGCGUAGUGUGGGCUGAAAUACAAAACUUGAAUUUCUGUGUCUUUGUCCCACUAACAAUCCUUUUUCCUCCUCACUACAAAACUUUCUUUUGGGGAACCUUUUAGCCAACUUUUUUUAAAACCCAUCUUAGGGGGGCAGCUGGGUGACUCAAUGAAUUGAGAGUCAGGUUCAGAGCUGGGAGGUUCUGAGUUCAAAUCUGGCCUCAGACACAGCCUAGCUGUGUGACCCUGGUCAAGUCACUUAACCCCCAUUGCCUAGCCCUUACCACUCUCCUGCCUUGGAACUAGUACAUAGUAUUGAUUCCAAUACAGAAGGUAAGAGUUUUAAAAAACAUCUUAGAAUUCCAUCUUAGAAUUAGUAUUGUAAAUUGGUUCAAAGGCAGAAGAACAGUAAGGACUAGUAAGUGGGAGAUAACUGACUUGCCCAGGGUCACACUAGGAAGUAUAUGAGGCCAAAUUUGAACCCAGGACCUCUCAUUUUUUAGGCUUUACUCUCUAUCCCUUGAGACACCUAGUUGGCCCCUCUGCCAACUUUUAGAGGAAGUUUAGAUCUUAUCACACAUCCCACCCCAUCACCAUUGCCACUCUCCUCUAAAUGGCUGUGUGCAUUGGUAGUGUGGAUACAUCAUGCCUCCCUUUCUUUCCCUCCCCCAAGCUCCCAUGACAGUUAUUUUUAAUCAACUCAGAAGCAUUCAUAAGUACCUACUCUAGAGGAAACCCUGUACUGGUCCUCAGAGAGACACUCAGUGAUUGGACAAGGCCAAAUCACUGUGCAUUUGUGUGGGGCACAUUUGGAGAAGAAUAAGAGAUGAGGGAGAACUCUGAGUAGCUGAGUGACCUUAGGUGAGUCAUUUUUCUAUCUGUGACUCAGCUUCCUCCUCAGGUUGAUGGCAUUUGACUAGAGGAUCUCCAUCAUCCCUUCCAGCUCUGGCAGUCUAGUGUACACACACAAUAACUACAAAUAGGCCUUCUUAAUAAGUGAUAUUUGUAGGACACCAUAAGAUCUACAUACUUGCUCUUACUUGAGUCUCAUCACACCACCAUGUUGUGUGCAGUGAUUAGAAUGCUAAUCUUGGAUUCAGGAAAUCCUGAGUUCAAAUCAGAUGUUGGACAAUAGUUGUGUGACCCUAAGCAAAUCACUUAGCCACUGUCUGCCUCAGCUUCCUCAUAUGUAAAAUGGGGAUAGUAAUAACAUCUACCUGCCAGAGCUGUUGUGAAGACAAAAUAAGAGAAUGCAUGUAAAGUGUAUAGCUAGUAGUAGUCAUUAUAUUAGUCUCAUUUUACAGAUGAAGACACUGGGCCUUACAAAGGCAAAGGGACUUGCCCAUAGUUGGAUCUUCCUGAUUCUCAGGCCAGCAGUCUACUCAUGCCAGGCUGCCUUGUAUGAGGAUGGGUAUUCUUGAAGUGUCUCUCUGUGUCUUGGCAUUGGCUACGUCCCCUCUGCCUGAAAUGCAUUCUCAAUUCAUAUCUAUCUCCUGUAACUCCUAGUUCCCUUUGAUCCUGCUCUUCAACCCCCCUCCAAGAUGCCUUUCUUGGCCUCUCCAGCUGUUUGAGUCCCCCACUGUUCUCAAGAAUAUUUUCAUUAAUUUGGCAUAUCUGUUGCAAAGUCAAGGACUGACUCACAUUUGUCUUCAAAUAUUCAACCAAUGGAAAAGCCAAUUCAACAUCUACCCUUUGCCAGGCACUGCUCUAGGUCCUGGGGACACAGAGACAAGGAACAAAAGAAUCUCUCCUCUCAGUGACCAUGGGAGAAGUUUGUAAAGUUUGUGAGGGAGAGGAGGAAAGAAGACUCCAUGUAGAAGGGAAUGCUUGAGUUGAGUAUUGAAGGAAAAGGACUCUAUUAUGUGGAGAUGAAGAGGGGGGACUUUGGGUUCCCACAAACACUGCCCCCUGGGCAGUACUAGACAAUCUGGAAGCUGUGAUUAGUCCCUAUAAAGAGGAGAGGAGACAAUAAGCCACUAUAAAAGUCCCCGAAUUUCUGAGGCUAGAGGGAAGUUGAUUCCAAGCAGGAAGUCAGCUUCAAAAAGGAGUUGGACUUCAAGAAAGACAUCAGCUUAAGGAAGAAGGUCAGCUAAAGGGAAAUAGUAAGCCUCAGGAGUCACCAUCAGCUCUAGUCAUUGUCUUGACCUGCCUCUUGGAGGGAACUUGGGUGAGUGGAUAACUGGCUUCUUUCCCUUCCUGUCUUCUGGAGAGAGUUUAAUUCUGCUUGAAGGUUAAUAAGUCCUGGCUGAGCCAAACACUGGAACAAUAUUUAGUUAGGUUAAUAUCUUCUCUACCCUUUUGUAUUUUUCUACUUUCACUCUUUCCACCUCUUUUGUAAAUAAAAUAUUUAUAAUUUUCA